UACAGAGGUCCCAAGCGUUGUUCGGAUUCAUUGGGCGUAAAGGGUGUGUAGGUGGCGCCGUAAGUCGGGUGUGAAAUCUCGAGGCUUAACUCCGAAACUGCAUUCGAUACUGCGGUGCUUGAGGACUGGAGAGGAGACUGGAAUUCAUGGUGUAGCAGUGAAAUGCGUAGAGAUCAUGAGGAAGACCAGUGGCGAAGGCGGGUCUCUGGACAGUUCCUGACACUGAGACACGAAGGCCAGGGGAGCAAACGGG
rnacentral:rRNA from 1 species